CCCUCUGACGCUGUAGUCCUCGGAAUAUCUCUCUUCACUCUUCUAUCUCGGAGAUUGUAUGUCGGUAAUCGGUCCAAGGUUCCUGGAUUCAUUGGUAAAUCUUCAUUUGAAUGUGUUGGGGAUAGAAACAGAAGCAAAAUAAUUCACUUUCCAACUGCUUUCUUCAAGAAACAUAAGAUGGUAGAUCAAUAUUGCGUUGGUUUCUUUCUGGUGUUUUCAUGUCUUGUUGGAGCUUUAGAUGCUAGUGCUGGCGAUGCUGAUCCCAUUUACAAGACUUGUGUUGGACAAUGUGAAAAAUCUGGAUGCGUGGGGCAAAGAUGCUUUUCACACAAUUUUUUAUUUUUUUUUUCCAGAU